GACGUAGGAUGCGAGCGUUGUCCGGAUUUAUUGGGCGUAAAGAGUUCGUAGGUGGUUUGUUAAGUCUGAUGUUAAAGACUGGGGCUCAACCUCGGAAGUGCAUUGGAUACUGGCAGACUCGAGUGCAGUAGAGGCAAGCGGAAUUCCAGGUGUAGCGGUGAAAUGCGUAGAUAUCUGGAAGAACACCGGUGGCGCAAGCGGCUUGCUGGGCUAUAACUGACACUGAGGAACGAAAGCUAGGGUAGCGAAUGGG
rnacentral:rRNA from 1 species